UAAUCACUUGUCUUUUAAAUGGAGACCAGUAUGAAUGGCAUCACGAGGGCUUAACUGUCUCCCCUCUCCAGUCAAUGAAAUUGACUUUCCCGUGCAGAGGCGGGAAUAACUAUAUAAGACGAGAAGACCCUGUGGAGCUUUAGAAUCUAAAAUAAAUCACGUCUAGUGUACUAUUUCAUCAGUAAAAGCCUAAUGAUUAAAUAUUGAAGUGUCUUUGGUUGGGGCGACCGCGGGGUAAAACACAACCCCCUUGUGGACCGGGGAUAUUAUCCCUAAUACUCAGAGCUUCCACUCCAAGCAACAGAAAUUCUGACCUUAUGAUCCGGUAAGACCGAUCAACGAACCGAGUUACCCCAGGGAUAACAGCGCAAUCCCCUCUCAGAGCCCU
rnacentral:rRNA from 1 species